UUGCAAGAGAUGGUAUGCAAUCGAUAACAGUUUGGAUUAGUGAUAGCUACAGUGGGGCAAAAGCAAACACCCACUGCAGACAAGACCCAGCUGAGAUCUAUGAGGCAUUUAAAGUGGGCCAUGCUUUAUUGGUAAGGCAGGUCAAUCAACAUGUAAUUAAUUUUAAUUAGCACUUCGUUAAACUCUUCACAUGCAGCCAGCUGUUAGCUCCACCAGCAGCAGAAAACACCAUGGCAGCUGCUGUAUGUUGACUCCAGUGAAGCAGCUCUUCAGGAGGCCAUGAGUAAGCUGGGAAAUGCAGGAUCUCUGCAGGAUUGCAGGAGAUAUUUCAUGGCUUGCUGAAAGUUUGCUGAGAUGCAUUAAUCAGAUAAAUGAAGUUGAAAGUCUAUUGCUAAGGUAUGAAAGAGAAGAGAAACCCUUAAACAAACCAAGCUGAAAUGAAAAAGCCAGGGUUCAGGGCCCAGAUGAGCUUGGAAAGAAGAAUGAAGUUAAAAGGCGUAUUGAGUGAGAUCUAUUUCACCACCUUUUUUAUUCACUUACCAGCACCUACACAAUGACUAGUUAAAAUCCUCACGGGGAUAACUGCUGCAUAGAUUAUUAUUUUUUUUCUGGCAGCUAAAGUGAAAUUUUAUUGAUUUGACAGCAUCUCAUAUAAAUCACACACGGAUCUAGAAUACAAGAUUUCACUGACAAAAACUGCAGUUUGAGGGGAACUUGGACAACUACAUCAAUAGUGACUGAUACAGCUGAAUAUCCAGAAGGAAACUAUAAGGCAGUAAAAAGCUUCUCUGGGAAUUCAGAGGAUCGGUAUAUGAGGAAAUAAAGGAUAAAUGUAAAUUUUACAUUUCAUGGUGCAUGGAAAUCAGCUGAAACAAUGAAUUUGUUCAGUUUUGAAAUUUCACAUUUGCUUAUUUGCUCAAAAAGAUUGUAAAGAAUUGUCCAUGGGUACUUGAAAUACAGCCUGAAAGUAUGUCCUAGUACCAGCAAUGUGGACUUCUGUAAGUUUUGUGUUAUACUGUGCGAGACCCAGGCAAGAAGAGAAUCCUUUUAGGCAUGGUUCAAUGGGGAAUAGAAGAUGACCUAUAUUUGGAAGAGCUUACUCUGUGUUAAGGAAUCAUUUUUCUUUGCCAUUUGGCUUAAUGAAGUCUAUAAAUUUUUGGAGAAUUGAUCUUAAUUUAAAAUGUGAACAAUUGAGACUUCUGAAAUGAAUACAGUGGAUUACCUGAUAAUACAUGUUUUGGACACUGUGUGUUUAUUCAACAGGAAUUCUAAGCAUGACAAACCACUAUUAUGACCACACCUUUCUGCAUAAUAUUAAUUAGCCCUCACAACAAACUAAAACCUCCCCUGCUUCGGCAGUCUGACACACACCAUCUCAAAGAUGGUAAUAACUUACAAGUGGUAAAGAAACACCAUUCAUGUAGUGGUUGGUCUCUAGACAGUUAACCUGAAGACAAACUGUUCCUAGCUUGCUUUUGUGUAUGUGUAUCUUCUUCUUUCCUCAUCUCUUUUAAUGCAAGGGUGAUUGGAGCAGAAUAAACUGCAUUAGGUACAUAAUCCAGCCUGCUGUAAACAUCCAAAUUGUCUAAAAAAUAUGUACAUUUUUGUCAUUUUCUAACAAAUAUUUUUUCAUUUGGAUUGCAUUUUUUCACAAAAAUUUUGGGCAUAUUCACACAAAAAUUGGUAUAUUACAAGUGCAAGAAAAGCCAGUAAUUCAGAAGAAUUCAAACGUUUUCUCCACAGUGCUGAAACCAUCUGACCACAGCUGCUCAUGAUUACCAGAGCAGAGACUGAACAUGGAGACUCAGAGCUCACAGUGAUGAAACCUCCUUCUUCCUUCAUCAAACGCUGCAGAAACUCAUCGACUUCUUGGAGUGAAGGAGGAGAAAGCUGUAAUGAGAGAAUUCACUUAAUUUAGAUGACAUUAUUUGCUCUCCUUGGAUUUGUUCACCUAAGCGUUAACUUGUGAAUCCAUCUUAUUUAGGCUGUUUGUUUUUUGCCAUUAGUUGUAGGAACACUUUUCAACUGCCACUGUUGUAGAGGGUAACAUUUGUAUAUAGUGAAUGGAAGCUUAGCAAGUGCAAAUCAUCCUCUACCCUGGAGAAGUAAAAAUGAUGAUUCCUGAAGCACACAGAUGGCUUUUUAUCUUCAGGGAAAUACCAAGCAACUCUCUUCGCUCAGGCCUCUGAUGCCGUUAAUGCUCAUAAUUAUUAUAUGUUUUCAUAACAGCAUAUUAAGUUUUUUCUUCUUUAUGAGCAUUUUCAUUAGCCUUUGUUUAGUUCCUAAAAUGAACCCAUGUUCAUUUUCAUUUGCUGCCCCAUUUUCAGAACCUUUCUUGUCAUUUGCAACUGCCAGCGGGUUGCUUUGUUUUAACCUAGGGCAAAUGUCUGCUGGGCCACACCACCUCCCCAAGGACUCUGGAGACCAAAGUUCUGGGGGUUGUAAGCCUGUCUGGCACCCAGGAGUGGCUAAGAGUUCCUUUGUAGUCAAGGUUGGACAGACAGGUGCCCCCAGAUUACCUGUACCUAAAAGGCUGUUUGUUCCCAGGACCUUUACCUGCUGGUGUCUGGACUUAAAAAAAAAAAAAAAAAAGAUUAAAGAGUGAACAUAAUGUCUCCCUUCUGAGAUAUCUAGAUGGAGUAUGAAUUUAGUUUAUUUUCCAUGCACCAUCAAGACAUAUUCAGAGUCCUAUCAGAUAUACUGUAUACACACCUUAUGGGAGUCUCCAGAGUAAUGCAAACCCAGGGGCUUCCAUAUGAAAGCAGAAGAAACAUUCAGAAAGACAAUGUUUCAGCCUAUCAGUCUUGAUAAAGGCCCAGAUGGGUAAAAAUGUCAGCUUUAUGUGUGUUCCAGCCACUCUCAAUCAAUCAACUUUCUUAUGUAGGUUAUUGAGUGUAUCUUCCCCAAAGCAUUGAGGGCUUUAAAUCUUGUACCCAGACUGAUGCCAUUAUUUUCAUGAUAAAAUUGAUCCAGGAAGACAUCAACUUUCAUUUUCAUGGUACCAGUCUGGUGGGGUUGUACUUUUCAGCUCAAUGGUUCUGGAAAUCCACAUUGCAGUGGCAAUGUAUUAAAUUGAUUCUCUUUCUUGAUAUAUCACUAGUGCUACAGAGGAAGAGUGGGAUUUUUUUCCUUUUUGCCCACGUUUGGUGUAGUGCAACUAAGCUGCUCAAAAAUAGUGGGAUUAAAUAAUUUUUCAACAAGAUCUUAAAGUGGGUGCGAUCAAUGAAUUAUAAUUAAACCAAUGUAUUAUUAAGCGCUCUGAAAAUAUUCAAGGAUGUGGGGGAACUAACAUUUUAAAACCCAAUAUAAUAAGCACAACUUCCCUAUUUAUGUGUUUUUUCCCACUGAUUCUGUUCCUUUAUUUUCUCUUGGAAUUUCUUCCUCUAUUCCUAUAGUCUCUACUGAUAUCAUGUAUGUGUAACAUCUCAUAAAUUAUUUUUGCCUCCUUCCCUUCUUUACCAAGUUCUUUCAAAACUCUCCUCAUCAUCUCCCACCUCUUGCCUAUCCCAAGCAGAUUUCAUCUGCCAGGUUGUCCUGUCCUUGGAUCCUUCAGUACUUCUCUAAAUUCACAUACAAUAGCAAUAUGGCCCUAGGUAUCACAAAAGUGAAGUACUGGACAAAAUCACUAAAUGUUUCAGCUGCAUGAGAGGAAAUGAAAGAAAAUCUGCAAGCAGAAAACAACCUCUGUUGAGAGGAGCAGAAGUUCGAGUACAGUGUCAUUCAGUCAGAGAGUGGUGGUUUGCAUAGUGUGAGGGCUCCAUGGCAGCCAAGAGGCGUGCUAGGGUGGGAAAGGCAGACAGCUGCUCUUGAUGGUAUCAUGCAUCUCAAAGCCCCUGGGGAUUUUAAGGCCAUUCUUUAUAUCCAUCUUCUUGUUAGAUACUGAAAUAACCUCUUCUGUGACAUUUGCUGAACUUGAGGAGUUUUCCCACAGAUUGAAACCUUCACUGAUCCAUAGGGAGCUGGUCAAUGCGUGGUAUCUUGCUUUUACCUGCAAUCUCAUCUGUGCUAUCCAGAUUCCUCUUCAGGAAAUGACUUUAAAAUUAAAUACAUUCUAACAUUUUAAAAAAUUUUUGAGAGUGUGAUAAGAAUAAAUACGUGCCUCUGUA